rnacentral:tRNA from 3 species
GGGGGCUUAGCUCAGUUGGGAGAGCGCCUGCUUUGCACGCAGGAGGUCAGCGGUUCGAUCCCGCUAGUCUCCACCA